rnacentral:misc_RNA from 1 species
UUCUUAGCCUCGUACAGAACUUGAUAAUUGACACGGAUUAUCUGGCAGGCGAUCAAAGCCAAUCAAAACUUGGUACACGUGCAAAAUAACGAUCGAGAACACGAUGCACAAGGCUGGUGGUGGAAGUGGUUGGAAAAAAUCAAAUCCUAGCUUUAUUUCAGUUUGUGGCUAUUUUACACGCGGAUAUGUUCGAACGCUAAUGCCAAAAGAUGGGAAUAUUGGCGCAAAAGGAGGAUCGAAAACACGACGCAAAGGCUGGUAGGAAUAGCUUGGAAAAAUUAAAUCAAACCUUUAUUCCAGUUUUCAGAUGUCGAAUGAGAAGUAGCUUAACAAUUUUCACGUUACUUUCCUCGUCGCGCAGUGUCCAAGUUUGGAAAACUCAUCGAACAAUUUCUCACAUUUCUCGGAAGUCUCUGCCGUUUGAAAUUUCUUUCAGAAAAAUACAAAGGUCGAGGCUGGCGAAAACUGUGACAUUGCCAUCAAGUACCAUUAUAGUCAGCGGGAAAACACUUUUGCAGCCCUUGGCUGAGCUCCGCCACUCACAAAUUGGGGAUCCAGGGCGUACAGUUAGGCAAUCGGCGCCGGAUCGAAUCCGCAGCCCUCGGAUAAUACGACCGCGUCGCUGUAUAAAUU